rfam:Oryza barthii chromosome 10, whole genome shotgun sequence.
AACCACACUAUCAAUGAAUGGAUUCACCCGUGAUAUGACAUGGUUGGUUGUUCCACUUAGGACAAGGACGUGGAAUCCUAUUAACAGCCAUCGCACGAAAUUAAUAGGAUGCCACGCCCUCAUUUUAGGUGGAACAACCACGUCAUCUUAUAUGUGAAUCCAUUCAUUGAUAGUGUGGUU